AUGCAAAAAGACAAGUCACUCGUACGGUUCCUAGCGUAUCCCCAAAUCGAAUCGCCCGUGGUGGCGGCGGCGGCGGCGACCGACGCAUUCCUACGGUUUUUUUUCAUCGGAGCGGGCGGCGGAAGGCGGAGGGCGCAUCGGAGAGGGGCCACUUCCUCGCGGCGGCAGCGGCAACGGCGGGCUUGUUCCUCGCGGCGGCAGCGGCGGGCUUGUCCCUUGCGGCGGUGGUGGCGGCGCGGCUGCGUGGGGGAAGGGAAGCAGCUGCGGCAAUGGCCGCGUGGGCGAAGAGAAGCGGCUUCGGUAGCAGAGGGGCGCAAGGUCUGCUGCCGCAACAGACGCCUAGGGUUCCACCUUCUCCAACCCUAA
rnacentral:rRNA from 1 species